CAUCUUGGAGGCAGUCUGGAUGACAGUAGUUUAUGUUCUCUGGUAGCUCUAGAUUUGCAUGACUAUAGACAUGCCAUGAUUAUAAGUACCAUCCACCUCAUGGAGAACAAGACAAAAUCUCAGUAACAUUCAAAUUCAUUUUAAUAUACUCUCUGAAGACUUGACAACUAUGAGCCUGGAAUGGACAAUUGUGAAUCUCAGCUCAGCUCAACCUUUUAAGAUAUCUUGAAAAAUCAUACACAGUGAAAACCCAGACCUGAAGAUCAGUAUUACAAUGGAAAAGAAAACCUGGAAAUUUUCAGCUCUGUGACUGAAAGACAAAAGGGCCUUAGACACAAGUAACAUAAAAAGAAGGAAAAGAUCAAUGAAACUUAAAUUCCUGAACAAUGUAUAUAAUACAUGAUCCUUUAAGUAAAGGGAA